rnacentral:rRNA from 1 species
AGUGAACGCUAGCGGUGCGCCUAACACAUGCAAGUCGAGCGAGGCUUCGAGCCGAGCGGCGAACGGCUGAGUAACACGUUGGAACCUGCCCCAGACUCAGGGAUAACACCGAGAAAUCGGUGCUAAUACCGGAUAGUCUCGUAAGAGUAAAGCUUUUGCGGUCUGGGAGGGGCCUGCGGCAUAUCAGGUAGUUGGUAAGGUAAUGGCUUACCAAGCCUAUGACGUGUAGCUGGUCUGAGAGGACGAUCAGCCAGAAUGGAACUGAGACACGGUCCAU